AAAAUAGUAAACCAUUUGGCUGUUGCCCAUGCUCAGUGGAAAGAAUCGAAGGUGACAGACGGCGAAUGAGGCGGCGGAUUGCCAAGUGAAGAGAGGACUACUACCGGCCGUUGCGGCGGCUGCUUCCGGUUAUCUACGCGGUGUCCGUUUCCGGCAGACGGAAGGUGGCAAGAAGCUCACGGAGUUAUCAAUAACUGGCACUGCAAACUCCUGGUGAGGCAAGUAAUAAUUAUUGGAGUAAUCCAUCAACCCUAUGCACUGAUUCUGCAUUACAGAGCCAGUGAACUCUGUAACUUGGCUCAUCAGCUCAAAAUUUUGUUCCCAUUCCACGAAAGGAAAGGAACGCCUAAGGUAGUCGAAUUCCUGAAGAGACUCUCCCAUGGAUGUGGAGCAGAGAAGCAAUGGAGUUGGAGGAGAAGCUGGUGGCCCUUUAAAGGUCUCUCAACUUGUCUUUAGGCGGAUACGUGGCACAUCUAGUUUGGUGGCUCAUGUUUAGGUGGGUCGUAUUUCCACAAAUGAUAAUAUUUUAAUGGUGAAAUUUAAAUAGUUACAGGAAAAUGAUUGCUUGUAUUCCAUAAUGGAUAGUUGAGUUAGACAAUUAAUUGUGCAAUUCAUGUCA